CUCCACUAUAGACAUUAAUAAUUGGGUAAUUGUAACUUUCUCCUGCUUUUACUCACUGGAGAGUUGCUGCCAAUAUCUCUAAUCAUCACAGCAUGUGCCAUUUGGCUGAAAAAGUGAAGGCAGUUUAGUAUAGAGAGAGAAAACAUUCAGGAUGAAGUGGGUUGUGAGAUGAACUGGAAAGGCAUGAAGAAACAAUAUUAGACAUGAUACAGAGUCUUGUUAUGCCCAUCGAGUUUAGACUAACCCGAAAAACAAUGUGUAAUAAUUGAAAAAUGUUCAUCCUCUUUAAAAGUAAGUGCUUUCCACAUUCUUAAAAUGUAAUGAUUAUUGCAUAAACUAGAAUCAUUAAUGUAAUGAUUAUUGCAUAAACUCGAUUAUUGCGUAAUAGGGGUAAAAAUAAAUAAGCUUAUUUGAGAAAUAUUAAGAAUGGGGCCACAGUUUGGGUUUUAGCAACUGAUUGGAAAGUGAUGCCAUUCACAUUGGACACGUUUAAAUUUGAGACGCUAGUGGAACAACCAUGUAUAGACACCUACUCGGCAAUCCUGCAUAUGAUCUCAACAUCAGAAGAGAGAUGUGGGCUGAUGACACAGAACUGAGAAUAGCCAGCGUUGCCACUGGGAGUAACCAUCACAUAUGUGGCAAAAAAGGCCAUUGGCGCAGAUAUAAUCACCCAGGCGGGAUGUGUAAAAUGGAAAAAGAAGGCAACCUAGAAGCAGGAUUCAACGUAUCAGAUACAGUAAUGAAGACAAUAAGAAAUUGGAUUGAUCCAGGUCUGGAGUUUUGCCACAGAGUGAAAUGGAACAACAAUAUGCAGGAGAAGUGAGGAUACUGAAUUCUACUUGAAAAUUAUACAGAAACAAUUUCUUAGAAUGCUCACAAAAGACCUGAAAACAUGGGGAGGAAGCAGGGCAUUUACAGCAGGUCUUCUCUGACACUGUGCUGGUGGGCAGGGAGCCACCUCAUUACUACCAGGCACAGAUGCAGUCUUGCUCUGUUGCCAGGCUGGAGUGCAGUGGCGUGAUCUCGGCUCACUGCAACCUCCGUCUCCCAGGCUCAAGCAGUUCUCCUGCCUCAGCUUCCUGAGUAGCUGGGACUACAGCUUAUAACUCAUGCAAAACAACAUGCUGCAAUGUUCUGAUGAAAUGCUCCUCUACAGUCGAGGCUCCCAGAAGGCAGAGAGCAUAUUCAUUAACUCAUUCUGCUCAACACUUAGCUCAUGUCCAUGGAGAGAUGUUGAAUAUGAGCUCCUAUUAAAAAGAGGGAAUACAAUCAAUCAUUUGAGAAUGUCCAAAAAGAACUUUUCCUUUCCAUCGAGCCUUACAAAUUAUUCUAAGAUUGUUUCUGUAAAUACCAUGUAAUUGGGAGAGAUACACAGGGAGCGUCAAUUGUGUCUGUAAUGUUUUACUGCUUAUGAUAAAAAGAUCUGAAACUAAUGUGACA
rnacentral:lncRNA from 1 species